ensembl:lncRNA
GGUAGAGGGGUAAAUGGGCUGUGGGGGUUCAUAACCACAGGUCAACAACAGGCUCUGGUAGAGGGGUGGAAGGGCUGUGGGGGUUCAUAACCACAGGUUAACAACAGGCUCUGGUAGAGGGGUGGAAGGGCUGUGGGGGUUCCUAACCAUUACAAGGCAAAGGCUUGUUGUCUUUGAUUCUAGAAAUGUGAAACAAACUCUUUUUAUUAUCCUGGGGCAUUAUCAUGAUCAUUAUUCUGUUUUAUUAUUUUUUAUUCUUAUAAUUGUUGUUGUUGUUGUUGUUGUUGUUGUUGUUGUUGUUCUGUAAGUAAAAUACUUCCAUAUACGGCAGG